AUGGAUCCCAUUUUCCUCGCAUCGACGGCGACGACAUGGGUGCUGAACAAGCUGCUCGACCACCUCAGGGAAGCUGCCAUCCAAGCACUGCUGGGGUCGGAAGGUUUCAGCAAGGAGGUGAAGCAUCUCAUCCACGCGCUGGAUCGAGCCAACCUCGUCCUUGGCUCCGUGACCGCCGGAGCCACCGCGGGGGUCAUGAUCGGGAACCAGGAGCUGGCGCGGCAGAUCACGGAGGUCCAGGAACAGGCGGUCAAGCUGGUCAAGUACCUCGACAAGCUCCGGUACUAUGACACGGAGGAAAAGAUACAAAAGAUGAAACUAAAGGGCAGCAAUCAGUUCACAUCAAAAGUGAAAUCUAUGACUCAAUCCAAGGGGAAAUUGACAAGAUCUGAAAUCGAAGACAUUGGACAAACUGUGGACAGCCUGCAUAAGAUCUGUGACAUUGUUCACGCUGCUCUCUUGCUUGAGAAAAAUGAUAAACUGCUUGCAGCAAUUCAAAACACAAGCACAAACAUAGGCGGGACAGUACAAUUCUUCACUGAAUCCAAGUUGUUCCCGAGGAAGGAGAAGGCUGAUAUUCUAAAACUAAUUAGUACAAGUGCAUCCAGUGAUCAAGAGCUUCUGGUUCUUCCAAUAGUUGGUCAUGGAGGUGUUGGGAAGACCACACUUGCUCGACUAGUGUACCAUGACCCGCAAGUGGAAGCUGACUUCCACGUCAAGAUCUGGGUGCAUGUAUCUGCUAACUUUGAUGAAAUCAAGCUCGCACAAGGGAUUCUGGAAGAAAUAGCACCUGCCUCGGAGUACGCACACAUCAAACAUCUCGAUGGGCUUCAACUUGUGAUCAACACGUACUUGCACAAGAAAAGAUAUCUGCUUGUUUUGGAUGACAUCUGGGAAGAGAGCGAGGCUCGCUGGGACAAGCUGUUGGCUCCACUUAAAUGUGCAGAUUCCAAGGGUAAUGUGAUUUUGAUGACAACACGGAAGUUAUAUGUUGCCAACGUAAAAAGCAAAGUGGAGGGACAUAUCAACUUAGGUGGUAUGGAUGAUGAAACAUUUUGGCCCUUCUUCAAAAGAUGCAUAUUUCGUGAUGAGAAUUAUCAAGGAGAGAAUAAGCUUCAAGGAAUUGGGAAAGAGAUAGCCAUCAAGCUGAAAGGAAAUCCUUUAGCGGCCAAAAGUGUAGCCACACUCUUGAGGAGAAACCUUACGGAACCUUACUGGAACCGUAUUUUAAAAAGUGAUGAAUGGAAGUUAUCAAAUACAGUGGAUGAUAUCAUACCAGCACUAAAGCUCAGUUACAAUCACCUCCCCUAUCACCUUCAGCAGCUAUUCUCAUAUUGUGCUAUGUUUCCAAAAGGUUACAGAUUUGAGAAGGAACAGUUGAUACGUAUGUGGGUUGCUCUUGGUUUUGUCAUGGACGAGAGAAAGAAAUUAGAAGAUGCCGGAAGUGACAGCUUUGAUGAUUUGGUAGACCGGAGCUUCUUUCAGAAAGAUGAACAGCACUUCAUUGUGCAUGAUUUAAUGCAUGAUGUAGCCCAAGAAGUUUCAGUGCAUGAAUGCCUUCUUGUUGAUGGCUCAGAUUCUCCAAAGGUCUUCCCAACCAUUCGUCAUGUGGGCAUCUGGACUGAGUCAGUCUACAAGGAUGAAAUUAUAGGACAACAUAAAACCUUUGAAAAAAAGUUGGAUGAAAUUGAGAAUAAAGGUAUUCUGAAAACUUUGGAGAGUUUAAUGCUUGUAGGUAUAUAUGAUGAAAAAAUCUCUGAAAAGUUUGUAGGGGCUUUGGAGAAAUUAAGUUAUGUUCAGAUACUUAAGUUAUCAGCAAUGCCCUUCAAUGUUGACAGUUUGCUAUCCAGUGUCGAAAAGUUCAUCCAUCUUCGCUAUUUAGAACUGAGGUACAGUUCUGACCAGCAUAAACCUUUGCCUGAGGCUAUAUGUAAGCUCUACCACCUAAUAGUAUUGGACAUCACACAUUGGAGUGGUCUAAGUGAUUUGCCUAAGUCUAUCAGUUAUCUCUUGAACCUACAAUAUCUGCUUGUUCCGGGGUCAGGAUCAUUGCACUCAAAGAUACCAAGAGUUGGACAACUUAAGUUUCUACAAGAGCUGCAUGAGUUUCAGGCUCAAAAAGGGAGUGACUUUAAUAUUUCGCAGCUGGAACACUUAGAGGACAUCAAAGGGUCGCUUAGUAUCCUUGGUCUUGAGAAUGUCAAAGAUAAGGCAGAGGCCAGUAGUGCAAUGAUUAAAGAUAAGGAAUAUCUGAGGACACUGUCACUCUCAUGGGGAGAAAAUAGUGAUGUUCAGAAAGAAGUGAUCGAGGGUCUUCAACCACAUGGUGACCUUGCACAUCUUCUUGUCAUAAACUAUGCCGGUGCUACUCCAACAUGGUUGGGAGGAAAUUUCUCACUCGGCAAUUUGGAAAGCCUCCAACUCCAAAACUGUACGGCAAUGAAGACCCUGCCACCAUUUGAGGAGCUGCCAUAUCUGAAGAAACUAUCCUUGAUUGGUAUGUCCUCCCUGAAGGAUGUUAAGAUUGACUUCAAUUGUUCUGAGGAAGACGAGCUUGAGCUAAGUGAAGUUGAAAUAAUGACGUGUUCAGCUUUAAUAACCAUAAGGCUCCACUCAUGCAAGGCAUUGACCAACUUAACCAUCAAAGAUUGUGGGGCACUAUCCUGCUUGAAAGGUUUGUCAUCCUCUGGUCAGGUGGAGUAUAAUAUCAAAGGAUGCCCUCAACUUCAAGCUGAUACCAUCUCCAGUUGA
rnacentral:rRNA from 1 species